CAGAAUGCAUUGACCAGUCCUCUUCCAGCCACGGACAGAAGUCGCUGCAGAAGCUGAUGAUCUCCAAAAUGCUGUACCGGCAUCGGAAACCACAGUCCAGUCCUCCUCGUCCAGCCAGGGACAGAAGUUACUGCAGAAGCUGAUGGUCUCCAAAAAUGACCCUGGACACCAAAAUCAGUCAUAAUGUAGCGGGUUCACCGGCAUCCGAAACCACAGUCCAGUCCUCCUCGUCCAGCCAGGGACAGAAGUUACUGCAGAAGCUGAUGGUCUCAAAAGAUGAACCUGAAAAACAAAAUCAGUCAUGAGGGUCAAUUUUCAGAAACUUUCUGAACUAUUCAUAACAAAACAUCUCCAUGGAAAAUGAUGAACUAUUCCUCAAUACACUGAAGAUUGCUGCAUGAAAGAAAAUAUUUGACUCAGGCAAUGUAUUCUUGGCUCUUCCUAAACAUUUAUUUUUAAAUAUUCAUUAUAUUUUCUAAUAGGACACAUCCUGAGGGGGUUAAGAUAGUGCUGGAUGUGUAUUGAUUGUUUGGGCUAGGCCCAGUGAAUAGAAAAGUCUCGCUUUUGGACAAUUUACCUCACAGGACAACUUUUCUCUUCCUAAAGUCUAUUGAAACCCCAUUGUUGAUCAUUUAUCGUUAUUGUUUCAUAUGUAAUGUGUCUUUUUUAUUUCUACAUUUAUUUUAAUCCCUCAAUGCUUGGAGAAUUAUAUCUCUACUCUUGUUUUUAAUGGUUUUAACAGCUAAUUAAGCUUGAGUGUUUGCUGAUAGUCUCACCGGUUGCAUUUCUCUCCACUUUAUUAGCAGU